rnacentral:sRNA from 1 species
GCUGGGCAUGGUGGCGCAUACCUGUAAUCCCAGCAACUCAGGAGGCUGAGGCAGGAGGACUGUGAGUUCAAAGCCAGCCUCAGCAAUUUAGUGAGGCCUAAGCAACUUAUCGAGACCCUGUCUCAA